CACAUGAAAUGCAAGAGAUGCAGGAACUAAGAGUGUUCUCCUCAAAAACAGUCCUAUUUUGCACUCUGGUUCUGACUCAAAGGAUGAUAUCUGAUGCUAUAUGGUUUACCAACAGCCAGGUGAUUUUUCCACUUUGUGGCACAGCGGAAACUCCUCACAAACACUCCUGUACUCUUCGUUUCCAGAUGAAUGAUUCUGCAACAACAUGCACUGAGCCACUGGAAAUCUGUCUUUAGUCUACCUGUAAAUGUCUGUUGGAACGAGCAAUGGGAUGAUGUGCAAAGGUGAUUUGGUCCUGUUGAUAAACAGUGGGGAAACUAAAGACAUGCAAUUUCCUCAUAGGACCCGCCGAUGAACAGAGGUCAAAAAAUUUUGAUUUUGGACUAGCAUACAACUCCAAAGAGAAUACGAAUGUAAUAUGGCAAUUAUGAUGUCAUAUCAGAAGACAUUUUUUGUUACGGGUGAAAAUACAGUAUGAACAAAAAGAAUAAAAACACUGAUUAAUAUUGAUAGCCUUUUAUUUCUUAAUGCUUUAUUAUGUCAUGUUUCUUUAGGGCAUUUUUUUUUUUACAGUAAUGCUGUUCUAUUUAUUCCAUUUUAUGUUAAAGGUGAUGUCAUUUCUACACUUUUUGUGGAAUUAAAAAAUGCCUGUGGCUAUGUCAGACCAAGAGCAACAUUUUAUUAUGAAAAAAAAAAUCAAACUACAAAUGGCCUACUUAACAGAGGUCUCUGCACAUGAAC